ensembl:snoRNA
CCUUCACUGAUGAAUAACCCUUUGACUUUCGUUCUACUGAGUUUGCUGAAGCAACGUUUGUUGUCUGAGGAGG